UGGGGAAUCUUGCACAAUGAACGAAAGCCUGACGCAGCGACGCCGCGUGAGUGAUGAAGGCCUUCGGGUUGUAAAGCUCUGUAAAGAGAGAAGAAUAAGUACAGCCUAAUAAGCUUCAUAAUGACGAUAUCUCCUUAGCAAGCACCGGCUAACUCUGUGCCAGCAGCCGCGGUAAGACAGAGGGUGCAAACGUUGUCCGGAAUUACUGGGCGUAAAGCGUGUGUAGACGGCCACAUAAGUCGGAUAUGAAAGCCCCGGGCUCAACCCGGGAAAUGCACUCGAAACUGUGUAGCUUGAGUACUGAAGAGGUUGGUGGAAUUCUCGGUGUAGAGGUGAAAUUCGUAGAUAUCAAAAGGAACACCAAUGGCGAAAACGACCAACUGGACAGAUACUGACGCUGAGACACGAAAGCGUAAGGAGCAAACAGG
rnacentral:rRNA from 1 species